rnacentral:rRNA from 1 species
UACGAAGGGGGCGAGCGUUAUUCGGAAUCACUGGGCGUAAAGCGUGCGUAGGCUGUUCUGCAAGUCAGGAGUGAAAGCCCAAGGCUCAACCUUGGAAGCGCUCUUGAAACUGCAGGACUAGAAUUUGGGAGAGGAUAGCGGAAUUGUCAGUGUAGCAGUGAAAUGCGUAGAUAUUGACAGGAACACCAGUGGCGCAAGCGGCUAUCUGGACCAACAUUGACGCUGAGGCACGAAAGCGUGGGGAUCAAACAGG